CCUACGGGAGGCAGCAGUGAGGAAUAUUGGUCAAUGGACGAGAGUCUGAACCAGCCAAGUCGCGUGAAGGAUGACUGCCCUAUGGGUUGUAAACUUCUUUUAUAUGGGAAUAAAACGCUCCACGUGUGGGAUUUUGUAUGUACCCUAUGAAUAAGGAUCGGCUAACUCCGUGCCAGCAGCCGCGGUAAUACGGAGGAUCCGAGCGUUAUCCGGAUUUAUUGGGUUUAAAGGGAGCGUAGGUGGAUUGUUAAGUCAGUUGUGAAAGUUUGCGGCUCAACCGUAAAAGUGCAGUUGAAACUGGCAGUCUUGAGUACAGUAGAGGUGGGCGGAAUGCGUGGUGUAGCGGUGAAAUGCUUAGAUAUCACGAAGAACUCCGAUUGCGAAGGCAGUUCACUGGACUGCAACUGACACUGAGGCUCGAAAGUGUGGGUAUCAAACAGGAUUAGAUACCCGAGUAGUC
rnacentral:rRNA from 1 species